UACAUCGGAACGUACCUCGUAGUGGGGGAUAACUCGGCGAAAGCCGCGCUAAUACCGCAUAUGCUCUACGGAGGAAAGCAGGGGACCGCAAGGCCUUGUGCUAUGGGAGCGGCCGAUGUCCGAUUAGCUAGUUGGUGGGGUAAUGGCCCACCAAGGCGACGAUCGGUAGCUGGUCUGAGAGGAUGAUCAGCCACACUGGGACUGAGACACGGCCCAG
rnacentral:rRNA from 1 species